AGUGAACGCUGGCGGUAGGCCUAAUACAUGCAAGUCGAACGGAAACACAGUAAGAGCUCUCUCUUAACGUUGGCGGGUGGCGGACGGGUAAGGCAUACAUCGGAAUCUACUUAUUCUUGGGGGAUAUCGUAGGGAAGCUUACGCUACUACCGCAUACAACCUACGGGUGAAAGCAGUAGUUAUUCGGAGCUUGCCCGAUUGAAUGAGCCGAUGUCGGAUUAGCUAGUUGGGUGGGUAAAGGCCCACCAAGGCGACGAUACGUAGCUGGUCUGAGAGGGUGAUCAGCCACACUGGAACUGAGACACGGUCCAGACUCCUACGGGAGGCAGCAGUGGGGAAUAUUGGACAAUGGGCGCAAGCCUGACCCAGCCACACCGCGUGAGUGAAGAAGGCCUUCGGGUUGUAAAGCCCUUUUGUUGGGAAAGAAAAGCAGUAGAUUAAUACCCCGCUGUUCUGACGGUACCUAAAGAGUAAGCACCGGCUAACUUCGUG
rnacentral:rRNA from 1 species